AAAUGUUUUAGAUACAUUGAUGUUAAAAUUUCAUAGAUAAGCACUGAAAAUGUAUAUUUAUUUCACGAAUGGAGUGUUAUAGAAUGGUAAUCUUAAUUAGAUAAGUGGUUGGAGGGACACUCUGUGCUUUGAUUUAGAUAAAGAAUGCCUGAAUUUGACCAUGCCUUCUCCUCAUAUGCCGCUUGAUCAGGAUCUAUGUAGAUUUUACAUGUGUUGUUUUCUUGAGGAUGAGAAAGAAAAGAAACCAAGGCUUGUGAUCUCUUUGCUGGGUAAGGUAAUUUUGUACGACAUUAAGGAUGAGGAUGCUAAGGAGCUAGUUGAAGCAGGAACCAAUGAUAUUGAUCGUGGUUGGAAUAACUUUUAUGACUGGACAGAAACCUACCAGUUCAUGUAGAUGCUUGCUAAUGUUUGAUUCCUUUCUGUAGCAUGCUCCAACAUGUUGAAGGGGCUAGCUUGAUGUACCUAAUAUCACUCUCCCAGACUAGAAACAUGAGUAUGAUGAAUCACUGUUGUGUAGCUUUAGAAACCUAAGAUUAGUUUGCUUGAUGGUUUACAAGAUCACUGCAUAUAUGUAUCAGCUGUUAAUCAGCCAAGCUUCAGUUGAGUACAGAUUGAUUUGAUCCAAGCUUCAGGCUAGAAAGCCUAGUUUUCCGACUGGGCAAAAUAGAAAAUAGGGCAAGAAAAUUUCAGUUGUAAGAAAGUUUGCAAAUAAAUAAAUCAUCCGACAAUACUUAUGGAAACAUCAAUCAACAACAAUAUCAGCAAGCGAAUUUUGGGCACAUUUGCUGUAGACUUGCUCCUCUGUUUUUUACUCAAUUAUUUGUUGGUAUUCUUGUUUGGUGACAAUUAUGUGUAAUCUUAGUUGUACUAUCUAAAUAGCCAAUAUUUUUGCAGUGAUUCUAACAAGAAAACAAAAACUGAACCAUUAAUUCAGAUUUUGUUUGCCAUGGUUCAGUUUAGCUUUAAACCAUGGUUGCAUAUCAACAAGUCAAAACCUUUUUGAUUGCUACAUGCCCUCUGUGCACUCUCUCUCUCCCUCCCUUUUUCUCUCUAUCAUGUAUAUUUAGUGGCUUUGCAUCAAAUAUUUUAGCAGAAAAAGGACACGAGCAGAUUAGGCAGAAACAGUAUGUCGAAUUGCCUUGCCAGAAUAAACACCAUUGAACCUUGGAGGUGAUGUAGAAGUGGAAAAAAGGAGGGCUGACUGAGUACGUUGCCACUUGCCGUGGCCUUGGGAAUUUGUAGGUGCAGGCCAAUUGGAUUUGUUCAAAGUUGUGUCUGGACAUCCGAGUUUAUUGGUGCUGAUAUUCUAGCUGAUCAGUGCUUGAGUUGAGAUCUAUUCUAGACUAUGUUUUUCUUUUCUUUUCUUUUGAAUCUGUAUAUCUAGAGAUUGAUUGAAGAUCGGGAUCAACUGUCUUCUUGGCUUGUAAUGUAUAAAUUGCCAUUUCUGCAAUGCUGAGUAGCAGCAGCAGUUCCUACUACACUUGAUGAUUCAUUGCCGUC